UUCCAGAAGUGAGACUGCACACCUAUACUUUAUGACAUAUUCUAUACUUCACAGACUGUUUGACUCUCAUGAGAUUUUAGAUUCCAUGGAGCAUAUAUGAUGAGUCUGAAGGUCACUUCAACCAGCAUAGGGGACAAGUGUAAAUCAAAAUACCACUUCACGAAAAUAAUUUAUGCAUUCUGCCAUGCUCUGAUUCAUUGCAUUGCUUAAAUUUUAGACACAAUACACAACCAGUCAUUGCACAACAUAAAAUUUGGUUAAAAUAUGGUCUGUGAAAAGGAGCAGAACCUCUUGCAUUUAUAUUUAGAAUUAAUUUACUAACGGAGUUGUUCCUGGCAGUUGUUUGCUAAUAUAAAGCAGACAAGUUACGGGAUGUUACAAUGCAUUUAUCAUGAUCAUGCAUUAAGUAACAGUUAGGAAGACACAGUUGGUUUAGGUAUACAAAUCAUUUAUUUUCAUAAAACAUUGCAAUAGUCAUUAAUCACUGAUUACAGGAGUUUUGAGUAUGACAGUUUAUCCCAUGUAGGGUUGCAGGGAUGAUGGAUCCACAACUCUUUAAGGGAGAUCAGUCCCAACCUGGCAUGGACAGAGUUGCCAUGAAGAACUUGAAGCUGCUGUGUGUGCGAUAUCAUAUCAUAUCACUGAUAUGAUGGUGGUUUUCUCAAAUUAAAUGGUGAUUUAGGUUACAUGGAGGGCAGGAGAAUCACUGGCGAAUGGUGCUUACUCAGAGUCUACUGUCUCUAAGCAAGGCCACACAAGGACUUCAGCAAGGACAACCACCCAUCCCCACCUGCUGCCAAUGAAUGCGAUGCUCUCAGUGACUGUGGGUUGCUUGGAAAUGAGUGUCAACACUAAAAAGGAACAUUGUGGAAAGAAAGGAGAGAUUACAAAGGCUUUUUGCCAACAGUUUGUUGUUAGAGGAAGGUUUUUUUUUUGUUUUGUUUUUUAAACAUUACACUUUUUAUGUUGAUAUUCCACCUAUACUGCAAAAUGUUUUUGUUUGAAUGUGCAAUGGCUUCCUCAUACCUUUAGUGUAUUUUAAUGCAUACUAGCUUUUAGUGUCCUCUCAGGCCAAUAGAAGAUUGGUGUUAUUAGUCAAUUCAAUUUUAUUAAGCAGUUUUUACUUAAAUUAUCUUUCCUGUGAUGUGAAAAAAUUAUAGUAAUGCACUACUAUUAUAUGAAUCACUGACAAUUGCAACCCAUGCUCACUGGAAAAUUGUACCUGUGGUGACAUUUCAGCAACAUUAAAUUACAUUGCUUUUUGCAUGUUUUACAUUUUUUAAGUAAAAUGUCCAGUGAG